rnacentral:rRNA from 1 species
GACGAACGCUGGCGGCGCGCCUCAUACAUGCAAGUCGAACGAGAAGCCUGGAGCUUGCUCCGGGUGGAGAGUGGCGAACGGGUGAGGAACACGUGAGGAACCUGCCCCGAAGACUGGGAUAACACCGGGAAACCGGUGCUAAUACCGGAUGUCCUCACCGGAUCGCAAUGGUCCGGUGAGGAAAUGGAUUCCGCUUCGGGAUGGCCUCGCGGCCUAUCAGCUUGUGGUGGGAACGGCCACCAAGGCUUCGACGGGUAGCUGGUCUGAGA